AAUUAUUUUAUUUCCUUAUAUUAAUUUUUUAUUUUCAAUAAAUACCUAUCGUAAAGAAUAAUAUAGUUGAAUAGGCUGCGAUAGGUUGAUACUGAAGUCUCGCGGCGUCAAUCGAUUUUUCUGUGACUUCCGUGGCUGCUUGUUUCACUUGGAUAUCGUCGGAUAAAUUUUUAGACACCAUUAGGAUAUCGAUGGCUUCCUCGUCCUCUAAGAUGUUACCUUUUGCUGUAGAAAGUACUUCCAAGAUUUUAUCUUCUGUCUCCUUCAACAUUCUAUGUAAAAUAAAAUUAUGAGUAAGGAUAGAAUAUAAAUUCCUGAUACUACGCGACGAGAUUAAAAGAAUAUACUUUUUAUUCGCAGCACUUUGCACGAUCAAAAUGUUCUUCUCUGAUUCUAAGUCGGGUCUUUCCCUGGCGACCACAAUACCGAGUAACUGAUCUUCUAAACCGCUCGGAGUUAUCAUAAAAUUCAGUAGAGUUACUCUCACAGCUAUUUCCGGCAGAUAAUGAGGAUUUCUUAAUUUUGUCGUAAUGUAAAGCCUGUCAAUAAUAUUAAUAAGUAUUAUUUUAUACACAAAAAUUUUAUUUUAUGAUUUACGAUUAUAUAUUUCAAGAUCUUAAGCGAAAAAAAUGAAGAAUAUAUUCUUUAAAAUAUAUUCUUUUUAAUUAUAGAGCGUACCUAAAAUUAGUGUUAUAUUCUACGACGGUAUCGCCCAAUUUUAUGCAUAAUGCACCAGCCUGUUUGAACGUCUGUUUGAGAAGUAUCGGCUCAAGAACGGCAUCUAAUUCUUCUUCCACGUUUUCCAGUAAUACCGGUUGUCCAAAUUGUAUCGCGUUUUCCAAGGUCCUUAUAUAAUCGUGCUGGCUCAGCCGAAUAAUGCUUAGAUUAUUCUUUUUUUCCAAGUUUCUUAUCCAUUUAUUAGCUUGGCUCUGUGGAUCUAUCAUUAGCGGCCAUCUUCUGGCAUUCCUAAUAAAAAUGUAGGAUUACACGAUGAUGCAGAUUUAUUAUUCGGAAAUUGACUUACAUAACAAUGAUUCCGUUGUCAACGGAAAACGCAUCGGCGGGUAAUCCAGCGAUGAUCCAGGUUCUAAUUAAAACCGGAUCACCGAGUAUCUCGCGCAGCUGAAAAUCGUGGCUGCAAAUCAUUUGCAGAUCCGUGCACAAUUGCAUCCAUUUAUUUAUCUGUUGCACGCGAAACGGCAUGGUGAACGGACCUAAGUAAGCCACUACGCCGGAAGCGAUUAUUAUGUCGCCUGUUAGCCGAUGGUAUCUAUAAGAAAAUAGAAAGAAUGUUGAAUCAAAUACUCGAGGUUUUAUGAAAUAAAUAAAAAAAUAGGUUUCAGAUAGAUCUCUUACUUGUCGCCUAAUUGUUUUGCAGUUUGGGACCAACGCGCAUAUUCUCCACCCAAUCCUCCGAUAAGAUCCUCGGCUCGUUUUAGUUUUGUCUCGCAGUCCGUCACUUGAUCCGACAUGGCUUGAAACUCUGCCUUUUUCUUGUUUAAGGUUUCUUGAAGAUGUAACAAUUUUUCCUAAUACAAGAAUUUUAACGUAAAAUUUAUAAAUAUAUCAAUAUUUAAAUUCACUGAAACAUUUAAAUACGUUAUACCUGCACUUGACGUAGUUGUUCUCUCUUUAAGUUUAACUUUUCUAUAGCAUCGUGAUAGACUGCUUCAGCUUUUGCCAAAGCUUUUCUCUUAGGCGCGACGAUCUUAGCGAUUGUGUCGUACUCUGACAUUGCAAUGACCCAACGGCACAAUCCUUCACAAGCCGUCGAGACUUUCUUUAUCUUCUCCGGAUCGAAAUCUGGAUUAGUCAGAUAUUCAUUUCGUAUCGUUUCUAUCACUUUAUCCGGUAUAUUAUCCUUAUCAAAAUGGAGCAAUGAGUCCAAAAAUUUAGCAUCGCUCAGCAUUCUCAAGGCAGCCUUCCAGUAAUCAUCAACGUGCAUGCCCUCCUUCGUCGACACUUUUUCCGGUUUUAUUUGCUGCAAUAAUUUAUUUAAACUUUAACAAAUGUAUCUAGAUAAUAAUUACAAAUUUUUUUGCGAUCGAUAUAAUACAUGCUAUUUUUUCUUAUAAGUAUACCUUGAGAACGCAAACACUUUCCACAAUAAGCUUCACACCAUACGGUGGAUGUUUCAUUACUUUCACCACCGCAAUAUCUGCGGAUGUUAACGUGUCCAAGGCUGCUUGAGCGCGAUUUAAAAUAGGCAUAGCUUCAGCUAAAUCAGCAUCGCAUUCAGCUUUUAUCACAGCUGCUUCGUCCGCUACUAUCUGAUAUUUUUUUUAUUACGCAUACAUAGGAACAUAAUUAUCACUUUUUUUAUUUAUAUAUUUUUAUAUAUUAUUAAUGUUUACUUUAAUAUUAAUUUUAUAUAUAUUAAUCGCUUGUACAAUCUUACUUGUGCCGCAGCUUCAUCAACUUUGACAACUUUUUCAAAUUCCGCGACGUCUUGACUCUCUCUCUCGACAUCGGCUAACAUUUUUUGAAUAUCCUGCGUGGCUGUGAUUAAUUUCGGUUGCAAUUGCUUUAAUAUAUCUUGCAUAUCUGUUACUUGAUGCUGCGUACUGUCCAACUGUCCUAAUCCGCCUUCGUAUCGAGCUUUAACGUGCAACACUUCUCUGCGACAUUGAAAAGUUAAUUAUGGAAAAAUUUUUUAAGGCCAUAACAACAAUUAUAUUUACCCGCGUUUUUUGGCAAGCAAACUCUGAAAGGUGUUGAUCAUUUCAAGGUAAGAGGUAGGUGUCACAUAAUUGCGUCUUUUUAAACGAACGAAGAACUCUUCGCUUAACUUUUCAGUGGACAUGUGGAAAAAUUGACACAUGUCAAUACUGGCUUUUCUUUCCUGAUCAGUAAGUUCGAUCGUCGCUAAAAAUUUCGUUGCGACAGCUAGCAGAGCAUCUUCAGGCCAUCGCUUGAGUAAAUCAAUUAUAUAAUACAGUAUACUAUAAAAUAAUACAUGUCUGAUCUUCUAGAGCUUUUCAGUACCUGAAGCCAAUCUAUGGUGCAACAGUUAACUAAAGCCGGGAACUUCCUGAUUCGAUUUCUGAAAGCGUCGCCGAUUGGAGACAUGGUGACAACGAUAUGUAGCUGAUCACGGCAUAUUUGCACAAAUAAAUUAAAAAGCGCUGCAGGGCUACCGUCUGUUUGUAACGCUCGUUCUCGUUGUUGAUCAAUAUGUUUCAUUUUUUCACAUAUCUCAGUCUUCUCGUCAGCCGUGUAUAUAUUGGGUACCUGAGUAAAAUAAAAAAUGUGAAAUUUUCUGUAAUUUUCGAAUGAACACAGAGAAAAACGGAGGAAGAGAUUUAUCAUUUUUAUUUACUUCUCCAGAAUUCAACAUAUUGCUAAUAUCCUCCAAGAAAUUCUCCUCUUUAAUCUGCGUGUCGCUGAAGAAGAAAGUCGAGUGCAACUCGGUUGCAGUGGCUUUUCUCAGAAUAGUUUUGAUAUCCUCGUGCCAUUCAUGCAUGCCAUAUUGUUGCGUAAGCUCGACCUGGAAUACGUCGUAAUCGCAAAUAUGCGACGCCAGUCUGGUUAAAGAUUGCCUUCCGGAUCCGCCAACUCCUGCGAGAAGAGCAUGACUUCGCGGUUGCUUGAUGAUACGGGCUAUCCUCGAAAGAUGCUCGAUUGCGUACCUUGACAUUUAUCCUGAAUUUAGCUCAUGAGAUAAGAUAAUUAUUUAACAAAAAUGUAAAACAGAACUUACCGAAACAAUACCAAGUUCAUAGGCUUCUUGAUCAUUGAAUUGUAUUCGGAAAGAUACGUCUCGACGUUCUCUCGCAAUUGUUCUAGGUCAAUAACUUCUUGAUACAAGCGUAUAUCCGCCUUGGCAUCGAUGAAAUCACAAUAUAACAAAUUUCGUAAUUCGUUUAUGGUGAUCUGCAAAAACAUGUAUGAUGCAAUAAAUCUUCGAAGAGCUCCUCCAUUGGAACUUCCAUACGUUCUUUUAGUGUUACAUCUAUUUGCUGUAUUAGCCAAUUAAUAUCGGUUUCAUCAACCAAACGAUCGCCAAACACUCGAAGUAUCUCGUGAACCCACAAUCGUUUCAUAUUCGAGAGAGCGGGCAUCGUUUCCGGAACCGAUAGAAGCACUCCCUAUGUGUUGGUAGCAGAUUGCACAAGCUCUGUUUAUAAAUAUCUAACGUUGCGAGAACAAGUUGAUCAAUGCACGGAUCAAAUUCUUUGCUGAAACCCCUAUAAAAAUACGAAUAAAUUAAAAAUAUUUGCAUAUUUUCUUUAAAUAUUAAAUAUUUUUUUAAAUUUAUGGACCUCGUAUCAAGAUGCCACAAAACGAUUUUGCUGAAUAUCGUAAUCAUAACGUCAUCCUCAAAUUCGGAUAUCGCCAGAACGAAGAAGUGCCGUUUGAAUCGCGGUGUGACAUCUUUUCCGGUAAUUGGCGGAGCCAUGGCGCACAUUAAUUGAAUCUCGAUCAAUUUUAUCAUCGUCUCUUCCUUCCUGUCAUACCUACAAAUAAUCUUAUACCUUCUCCUCGCAAAUUUCAAGAGCAUCAGCUAGCAUUUUAUAAGCCGUGGUCUUGCCGGCAAAGGGAUACCCGACAAUCAUGAAUCCAUGCCUGACCAACAUCAUUUCGUAUAUCUGCUGAAUUUUUUCGAGAAAUACCGGGACACAUUGAAUGUUCGCGGCGGUGCACGCUUGAGACGCAGAUGCGUUUAAAUGCACGUAGUUCGGCUCCGGAAGUUGCACGUUUGGAAAAAGAUCCGAGGGCGAUGUAGUCCAGCCCCUCCGAGCAAUUGAAUACAACGCAUUGCUUGGCGACCGCCUUCGCUAGAUCUUUGGUGGUCUCCGUUUUUCCUGUUCCUGCAGGUCCUUCCGGUGCACCGCCAAGAUGUAAACUAAGUGCACCGAAGAGAGUGCGAUAACAUCGAUCGAUUUAUGUAUAAAAGCUUGCAAUUUCAUGAGUUCUGAUGUAUUGGGUGGUAUACUUAAUGCAUGAUCCGCAAUGUUUUGAUAAACAUCUCCUAUACUAGUAAUUAGACAAUCUAAUCCGCAAGCUGCCGUUUUCAGUUGCGUUUACUGCUCGAUGAUGAAGCAUGCCGGAUUGCUACGGAUCUGCUGACUGGUUUGUGAACAAGUUCGGAUGUGAAAGAAAUCUAAAUGCGAAAUAUCAUCCGAUGAAUUUGCAAAUGAUAGUUGAAUGAUAUAUAGUCACACGAUGUUGUAUGGAAGAUACGUGUCACGCGACACUUUGCGACAAGAUCUGAUCUCUUUGGCGAACGCCUCUCUGAUGUUGAUUCUGUGCUGUGUUUAUAUACACAUGGAGGUAUAUCGAAAUGUAAAUGUGUGUAAAUGAUUUAUCAAGAAGUUGGAUUAAUUAACGAACGGUCCGAUGGCUAUCGUUUCAGAUAAAAAAUAAUGCCCAUAACACGGUUGUGAAAACUUCGCUAAUCGUAGGCGAAGCGAUAUAAGAAUGGUUCAUUCACAAGCUCUUGGUAAUUCAUAUCGAACAAUCGAUCGACACGGUCGAUUCGUUCUCGGUCUGCAUCUGUAGAUGGUAUAUAUGAUGGGAGGAUGUUUCUGCAAUCUGAUCGAAUGGUGAAGCGAUGUAUGAACGAUUUACACGCGCUACAUAUAUGCAAAACUACUUUGUUUGUAAAGGAGAGUUUUGGUGUUGCGGCGCGUACACUACGUGUAGAAUCGCUCUACGAUUUACCAUGAUUGGUGAAGCACGGGCAAAGGGCAUUCAGAAUACGAUUGCAGAAUCCACGCGCACGGUUGUUCCAGCCAGCGAUGGUAUCGCCACCCUUCAAUCUACUGCCUGUACACAUACACACGCGCAUAUAUUACGUAUAGCCAGCAAGUUUAUAAAUAUCAAUCUCCAAAGAUAAUUAUAAUUGUGCGUCGUUCUACUUUGUAAGUAGUUCCUCUAUACAGGGUAUUUCACCCAACCUCUCACGAUCUGAAAUAUCUCCGUUGUUAUUGAUGAUACGGAAAAAUAUGUAUAUAAGAAAUGUAUAAGAAUAAAUUUAUUUAGCGAAUAUCAUGAUUG